AUAAACUGAUUUUCUCAAGUGAAAACAAGUUUCAUCCUUUCUUGCCAUGUUAUUUUUUUUCUUGUCAACAGUACAUAAUGUUGACCACUAGAUGUCAGGAUCCCCUUACCUAUUACAGUGAUUCUUUUAUUUUCAACUCUAACCGCUUAUUUCUUCAUUCUUAAGAAAUACAUACAAAUAGGGCACUCUGCCAUUUACUUACCAGGCAAGUAAAAGAGUAAGAUUGAUUUGUAUGGCUACACCAGAUUCUAUACAUUCACGGAGUCUGCAUCUCUUGGAAGAGUGAGCUGGAAGGCGGUGUGCCCUCGAAUGGGAGCUCAGACACUCAGCCCUCCCCUGAGAACUAUUCCUCCAAAGUAACUCUCUGGCAGGUCAUUUUUAUGAUUAAGCUUCUCAAUAAAGAUGGGGGAGGGGAUCAUAUUUCUAUGUCCUUGGAA